GCGCUUAGCCGCAUUCUUUCCGGCGAUGGCAGCGGAGGUGGCAGCUGUGGUGGAGUCGCGCGGUCUCGGGGCCGGACCCUCAGGUGCUGACCGCCCGCGCGCCCUCCGCCAGCCUCUCCGCCCCUGGACGCUCGGGGCGCGCCGGGGCUGCCUGGGAGCUUGCCUGCUGGAAACGAAGGGCCUGGAAGGACAUGCUGGGGUCCCGGACAAGUAGACACGUUGGUGCUGCAACAGGGAAAAAGGUGACAGCCUGGGAACAUCAGCUCCAGGGGUGAACGUUAGCCAGAAUGAAUGACCUUCACGAUCCAGACGAAGAUCCCAAGGCCCAGGAAGCUGUGGGCCGGCUGGGUGCUGUGCAGCUGCUCAGUGGAAUAGAUCUGCAGAUGUGUGCGCUGUCCCGUCAGGACUCGCUUCAGGACAGGUACGUUG